UUGGGGUCUUGGUACGUGGUGCUU
rnacentral:snRNA from 1 species